rnacentral:rRNA from 1 species
AUUGAACGCUGGCGGCAGGCCUAACACAUGCAAGUCGAGCGGAUGAGUGGAGCUUGCUCCAUGAUUCAGCGGCGGACGGGUGAGUAAUGCCUAGGAAUCUGCCUGGUAGUGAGGGACAACGUUUCGAAAGGAACGCUAAUACCGCAUACGUCCUACGGGAGAAAGCAGGGGACCUUCGGGCCUUGCGCUAUCAGAUGAGCCUAGGUCGGAUUAGCUAGUAGGUGAGGUAAUGGCUCACCUAGGCGACGAUCCGUAACUGGUCUGAGAGGAUGAUCAGUCACACUGGAAUUGAGACACGGUCCAGACUCCUACGGGAGGCAGCAGUGGGGAAUAUUGGACAAUGGGCGAAAGCCUGAUCCAGCCAUGCCGCGUGUGUGAAGAAGGUCUUCGGAUUGUAAAGCACUUUAAGUUGGGAGGAAGGGCAGUAAGUUAAUACCUUGCUGUUUUGACGUUACCAACAGAAUAAGCACCGGCUAACUUCGUGCCAGCAGCCGCCGUAACAC